ensembl:lncRNA
UCUGCCAAAUGUUUAAGUAGCGAAAUUGUACCAAUUUUACAAGCCUCCUUCGAUGGGCUGCAAAUCAUCAUAUCAGCCACAUAAUUUAGAUGGGCCGACCCUGCAGGGAGUUAUAAAUUAUGUAGAUGUUCCUAAGCGCUUCUGUGGAAUACACCUGACUUCUGUGGUAACCCACUGGACAUCCUAUCCAUUUAUAGCCGCGCCCAAAAAAGAAAAAAAAAAAAAAAAAAAAACCAACUUAUGUCUUCUUGUUUGGGAGGCUAUACAAGUCUGCGUGUUGUGUGUAUUCCUCAACGAGCUCUACUGUUCUGUGUACACUUACUCGUGUGAUCAACGUAGUGUGAUCUACAUUACCACCAGCGCUAUACUCUUCAUGAGGAUCCUCUGCACCCGGUCUGAACUUUAGGCCGAGACACACCCAUGCAACCAUGGACCAAGAUCCUGUAUCCCAGUGAGAUGGUUUAGCCAAUGAAAUGUGGAGUAGAAUCGAGGAACACCUUUUUUUUUUUUUUUUCCUUUGGGAAGGAGAGAGAGAUACAGACACCGCAGCAGCCUCCUCUGACCAAUACACAUGCUUCAACCAUAAUCUCUCUUUCUCCAACUUUUGGUCAUGCCAUACGUCCACAUACCUUCUAUCUCGCCCUGUGCUUACAUGGAAUGUGCAAUGUAAUGACUGUUCAUGCAUGUAAUCUUCUACCGUAUGUGUCUGCGCAAUUUUACAUGGUCAUGAGUAAUUAAUGCAUCAAAGUAUGCCAGUAGUUUUCAUCCAUAUACAUACAGGAGGGUUUUUGGACUGUAGUUAAACAUCUAAAAUAAUUGCAAUUUAAUCUUUUCUUUUUUUUUCUUUUUUUUUUCUUUUUCGUGUGUGCCAUCUGAUGUUGAGCUCAAACACAAUGCCAAAUGCUCUUGAGUCAACUACAAGUGUUACCGGAUGGCAAAUCGUCAACGUUAAUUAUGGGAAUUUCUGAAUAUAACUCGACAUGCAAUCUAAGAUGUGUGUGUGUGCGUGUGUGCACAACUAUUUUGUUUCGUUUAUGAGUGUGAUGUGUCUCAUCCUCAUGUGCUCAGGACACUCUGCUCGCCAAUGUCCUUGUUGUCCACAAUUGUAACACACGCUUGGAUCAUAACUCCCGUAAGUCCGAUCUGAUCUGCCUCUGCCACGAGCUCUUCCAUAACCUCUUCCUCUUCCACGUUGGCCUUGGGCAAAUUGUUGGCACUGCAAGCACGUAAACAUUGCAUACUGAGCCUUUUCCAAACCUUUUAGUUUGUCCUUUUUCUUGUGUAACUCAUCUUCAGCGUGUUCAGCGUGCUGAAGGAUGUCUGCAAGAGCACAGGUUUUCCAGGUUACACAUGAUCUUUUCACCAUCCGUUUAAGUUCAGGUCUCAUUCUGCUUAUAAAAUGUUCUUUCAGAUGGACUUCAUAUGGCAUCAGGGGCUGUGCCCCCAUUGGAUCAGGUCGCUUAAGGCCACUGUGGGUGUCAAAAGCUGUCGUCAGGCGUCCCAGGAAUGAGCUGCAUGUUUCUUGUGGCCCUUGUGUCAUAGAGGUGACGGUGGGGAGGUUCAGUCUCAGAGGAAAUUGUUCUUUUACCAACACAAUGAGAGCAUCUACAGCACUUCUAAUGUCCAUAUCUGUGCCGUGCUCACAAUCAGGAUCUUUAAGGCGAGCAGC